UACGUAGGGUGCAAGCGUUGUCCGGAAUUAUUGGGCGUAAAGAGCUCGUAGGCGGUCUGUCGCGUCUGCUGUGAAAACUCGGGGCUUAACCCCGGGCCUGCAGUGGGUACGGGCAGACUAGAGUGCGGUAGGGGAGACUGGAAUUCCUGGUGUAGCGGUGAAAUGCGCAGAUAUCAGGAGGAACACCGGUGGCGAAGGCGGGUCUCUGGUCCGGUACUGACGCUGAGGUGCGAAAGCGUGGGGAGCAAACAGG
rnacentral:rRNA from 1 species